rnacentral:lncRNA from 1 species
AAUAAUAGUUGUGACUGAGUAUAUAAUUGAAAAUUAAGCAAAUAAUUCAACAUGCAACAUGACCUCUGUGGGACCCAACAGUACCAGCAUGUAGCCUAAGCCUGAUUUCUAACAUAACUUGUAGCUCAAUUUCUCUAACACAUGGAGAAUAAAUGGAUAACAACAAGAUUAUUCAAUUAUUCAGUUCCACGGAAUCGACCAAGUCAUAAUUUUUACGGUGCACGCCCACACGCCUGUUACCUAGCAUGUGCGUCAACUCAACACCAAUCACAUAACACGUAAUUCGGGGUUUUAUAUCCUCAAAAAUAAGUUUAGAAGUGUUACUUACCUAUAACCGUACGAAUCUCUACUCCAAUAAGCCCUUACCUCGCGAAUCAGCCUCCGAAUGCCUCGAAUCUAGCCACAAAUAAUUUGAUACAAUCAACACGAGCUAAAGGAAUCAAUUCCAUAAGAAAAUACUAAGUUCUUAAUCAACAGUCAAAAAGUCAGCUCAAAAGUCGACCACCUGGCCCAUGUCUCGGAAUCCAAUAAAAGUUACAAAAUCCAAAAGCCCAUUCAAUCACGAGUCCAACCAUACUAAAUUUACCAAAUUCCGACACCAAUUCGUCACUGAAAUCCCCAAAUUAAACUCUCCAAAUCCCUAGCCUCAACUCCCAAAAAUCCACCUCAAAAACACACAAACUAGGUGGGAAAAUAAUAUUAUUGAAUAAAAAUGAUCACAAGUGACCUACCUCAAGAAACCCAUCGAAAUCCCUUACAAAGAAAUCGCCUUAGCCCGAGCUUGAAAUGUCCAAAAUGAUAAAAAUCACGAAACCCUAAAGUUUUCAACUCAGCCCAGUGCUUUCGCAUCUGCGGCCAAAAUUUUACUUCUGCGGGAUCGCUUUUGCGAUGAAAGUUUCGCUUCUACGGUCCCAAUCCUGCUCAUGCGGGUGCGCCUCUAUGUAAAACCAUCCGCUUCUGCGGACCAACCACUCCAGGCCCCUUUCCGCUUCUGUGACCAACCAUUCGCAUCAGCGAGAUCGCAGGUGCGGAAUUUUCCCUUGCACCUGCGCAAAUACCCCAACUCACCCAGAACCACAUCUGUGACCCCAUGGCAGCUUCUGCGGCUCCGCACCUGUAGCCUAUCCCUCACAGGUGCGGUUGCACCAGACCUGAUCACACCAGCUCUUCCAAAAUUCCAAAAUCCAAUCUCAUUUCAAUCUGAAUCACUCCCGGGACCCCAUCUAAAUAUACCAAAACAUCCCAAAAUACGAAACGAACUUAGUAGAGGUCUCAAAUCAUAUCAAACAAUAUUAAAAAUACGAAUAAAGAAUGCCAUUGACUUUGUGUCUUGAAAACAAAGUGAUUAAGGUAUAUCGGAUAGUAUAGAAUAUAUGAAGUGUAGAAAGAGCUGUGUUUUGAAAUAAUAGACUAAGUGUGAAAAUUAAUUUAGAUAAAGAAUGAUUAAAUAUGUAACAAUGGUGUAUUGAAAAAUAUAUUAAAGAAUCGUAUCGUAGUGUGAGUUGAAUAAUAUAAAAGAAUUGUGCUUAAAGACUACAUAUUGGCUCAAAGAAUUUAAACAAAGAAUUGAAUUUCACAAGAAUAAGAUUAAAAGAAUCUACUUAUAAUUUGAAGACAAAAACUUUGAAUGAGUGAUUAAAUUAUGAGAGAACAUGCAUUAAGGAGUAAAGUGAAAAGAAAAGAAUGAUUAUUUGCAUAGGAGUAAUUUGACCAAAGAAACAAAGUGUGAAAAUAUUAGCAUGAAUGAGUAAGUGUUAAAGGAAUAAAAAUAUAAGAUAUUGUGUAGUGAUAUGUGGAAUGUUUAUAAAUUAACUAAAUGAAUAUUAAUUAAAGGAUACACUUGGAAAGAUUUUUAUUUAUGUGCAAAGAUUAACUAUUUAAGUGAAAAGCUAGAAAUUAAAAUUUAUUUUAAACGAUUGUUAAGAGUGGAAAAGAAUAAUCUUUGAACAAUCUUAGUAGAUAAUGAAAAAACUAAAAGAAUUAAUUUAAUGAAUGGAAUGAGUAUGGUAUAGGAAAAUGUACCAAAAUAUUUAUGACAUAGAAAAUUAUCCCAUCAAUACAAAGAAAUAUUCGCGCUAAAAAAAAGAGUUAUCAUUCAAUGAGUAACUAAAGACCAUCUCUCGAGUCAUGGUCUUGAAACACAAAUUAUGUGAGCCAAGCCCAAAUGACUACAAGGACAAAGUCUCUUAAAGAAUGGUAUGAUAAUUCAACUACAAUUUUUAACUUAAGAUGCGUCAAUUAAAAAAAAUUACAUAUGACAUGGUUCGAAAAACAUGCUAAUAUAACUUUAAGAGAACAACAAAAUUAUUUAUUUUAUUUAUUUAUUUUGAAAGAAGAUGACAUGGUUUUAUUUUUUUAUGUAUAUAGAUUUAGUUGACUAUAUGCAUAUCGAUCCUAAUUAAUCAACCGAGUUGUAAAACAUAUAUGGCAUCUUCUAGAUAUAUACAAACUCCAUAAAAAUCACCUAACGUGCAAUAUUGUAAUUUAACCCAAUUGUUAACUAUAUGCAAUUUACCCUAAAUAUUUAGUAAGUAGACGACAUCAAAGCAAGCAAGCACAAUAUCUAUCUACGAUUUCACUAUACUUUACGUUUUAGGUACACCCAAGAACGGGAUGUAAGAAGCAGGGAUUGAUGAGGGAUUUAUCUUCGAUCUUUCUCCAAAAUGUCUUCUUCCGAAGACGACUUCGUAUGAUAGUACCUUGCAAGACAAGAGAAGUGAAAUUAUUAGUUAAUAUGACGUAAAAGAUAAGCUAAUAAAGGUACAUGUGUUUUGAAAUGGUUUUUGUUUUAAAAUAUUUUUUGGAAAAUUGCUCUAGAAAAUAAUUUGAAAAAUGUUUUUGUAUUUGAAAGAUUGUUUGAAAAAGUAUUUUUUGGGAAAGAUUGUUUAUUGAAAUUAGUUUUGGAAAAUAGUUUUAAAAAUAAUAUAGGAGGCUCAAAUAUGUAUUUUUCGAUAUCCAUCUUAGACAUGAGAACUGGAACCGCCUCGGUAGUGACUCCGGUUGCUAAUCGUGUCGCCCUCCAUAGGUUUUAUGGGUUCAUCGCAUCCUCAUCUUUUAUUCUCCGAUAUUUAUUAUCAUCGCCUCGUUAUUUCGGGACCAAUCUGAGGGUCAUUCGAGGUGUCGGGCCUCAAAAUAAUUAUUCUCACCGGCCUAUGUAUAAUAUUUAUUUAAUAACAGUAUUGAGCCCAAUAUCGAAUACUAGCAAACGACCAACGGGUCAUAAUAAACAAUACAGUCCGGAAAGGAUCAAAGGGUCUCAAAACUUCGAAUCUGUACUCCUUCAACAGAAAGAUUUAAACAAAAUGGUCGAACACAGUUAAAGCCAAUGGGGUAGCAGCACCUUAAGCAAUAGAACCAAUGAUGGAAAUAAGAAAGUCAUCGGUACAAGGCAAGGCAGGAACAGACCAAAACCAUGAACAAAUACUCUAAGAGAGUCAAAUCAUUCACAAGCGUUAGUGCAACUUAAAUUAGCAGAAAACAGUAAUAGGCCAAGCUUGAGCUAAUAUGAACAAAACCAAACAAACUCCCCCAAAAUCGAAAAAGACAACAGGGGUGCCAGACUUUACAGGGAUCGCCAGAAUGAGCGGAAAACAGUGGUUCGUCGCCGGAAAAAUUCAUAUACCAUAUAAUCUAUCAAAAUCGCAAAUCAAAUCAACAAUAACUAAAUGCGGGUCCAAACAGCAUCCUAAGAGGGUCACCGAAAAAUCAAAACUCUAGCCAGAUUUGGACAUUUUCAGUCGGAUCUAAGGGAACACAUAGUCAUCGGGAUUUUGGCGAGUCAUCACCUGAAACGAGACAACGGGGACAAACGACCUGGCUACUAAGUUUCCAACUCAUUGCCGUAGAGGCUUGUCCUUUCUCUACUGAACAUAGCGGCCAUAGCAGUGAAGAAAAAAGUAGGGGUUGCUGAUAUUCAUGGAGUUCUGCCAGAUUUCAUGGUAUUUCCUGUGAGUUUAUGUCUUCCCGUUCACCACUAUUGAGAGUAUGAGGGCGUGAGAGAGGAGAAGAACAGCGAUGAGGCAAUAAAAGGUGCCAGCCAUUGCCGUUGGUGGCCGGCCGGCGGCAAGGCAGCAAAGAAAAAGUGGGGGUCGGUGGUUCCUAUCAAAGGAGAGAGAAAUGAAGAACCAAAUCCCAAAAUAAUAUGAGCCUUAGGGUUUUCAAAAGUCCUUAAAGAGCUUAUGGAUUAAAGUGGGAUGUGGGUGUAUUUUUAUUUUUGUAGUGUGUAAAAUGUGGGGUGUGGGGUAGCAAACUUAGGGACCAAGUUUUGAAUAAAAAAAUGUAAAAUAUAAAAGAAAAAUAUGUGGUCAACAAUUAAAGAAAGACAUGUCACAUCAAGUUACAUCAAUGUCAUGUCAAUUUCAUAUCAAUGUCUUGUCACAUCGGAUGUUGACGGACAUUAAAUUUGAUCGGACUUGAUCCGUAUUUUGAAAUAAAUUUUACUCGUUUCCUUAAAUUACUAGGUUGUGCUAUGAAUUAGAAAAUGAUUAUUCAGUUAGAAAAUUUUGUAGUAUUUAUUGAAAAAUGUAACUACUACGAUGACAUGGUAAUUAUUAUUUUAUUUUUAUUUUUUAAAAUGAUAAUAAAUUGACAGAGUAUCCUAAUAUUUGAAAAAUAGGACAAUUAUCAAUAAAUUAUUUGAAAUUUAGAAAAAUGCACAAAAAUGGUAGUAUUUAACUAAUUACAAUAAAAUGAUAAAAAUUCACAUAUUUUGUUAAAAUAUGAAUAAUUAUCAAUAAAUUGCAUAAGAGCUAAAUAAUGUGAAAAAAACUAUAUUUUUAUUAUUUUUUUACUAGGAAGCAUGCAAAAGUUAAUUUUUAAAUACGGAGGGUCAAAAUUGAGUGUCAACAGGAGCCCCUCUUUGACUGGAGACGAUGUAAGAGUCUUCGGGCAAAGAAAUUGACAUCAUACUCAAUUUUGUCCCGAUAUGACAGAGUGGGAAUGAGGAUGUUUUGAAGGUUGUGACCGAACUCUGGUUUUUGAAUUGCCUACAUAUCUCGGGUUGCACAAGAAUUAGGUAGCGUGUAGUUCUAGAGGAUUGAUUACUACAUGUGAAUCGUAGCUAAAUGGAGUGGAAGUCAAAUGUUCGAGGACGAAAGGGUUCGUGUGAUCUCGACAUUGCUUCCAAACUUUCCCUAGGGUCGAACUGUGGUAACACUAGGACGUGGUGUUGGAUGGAUGGAUAGAUUGAAUGGAUUUUGUUGUGGAUAGGGUCGGGCUCUUUGUUGAGCGUUCCUACAUAUCUCGGAUGUAACGAGAAUCAGGCCGAUUGUAGUUCGAUAAAACGAUGGGAUUUUUUAUUUUUGACUUGCAAAUUACCCCAACGUCAAAUUGUGAUGACACUUGGUGUUUUAUUUUGACUUUGAGGGUUCGAAUUACCUACACACCCCAUGUCAAUGGGACACUAGAAGGUGGGCGCAUGUAAAAUUUGAUCUUGAAAUAAAAUACCCAUUGUUCAGGAGGGCGCCUGAAAAUUUUGACUUUGAAAUAAAAUGCCCAUUGUUCAGGAGGGCACCUGAAAAAUUGGCUUUGAAAUGAAAUGCCCAUUAUUCAGGAGGGCACAUGAAAAAGCAAGAAGUUAUUUCCUAGAUGCAAAAUUAUAGAAUUUUGAAAUGAUAUGGCCGGGUCUGACUAAGACUGCCUACGUAUCCCAAUGGAAUCAGGCCAAAGCGUAGUUCGAUUGCAAAAGAUGACUGAAUCCGAUGUGGAUUGCCUACGGAUUCCUACCAAAGGAAAUCAAGUUGCGGCGUAGUUCCGAAUAAAUAGAAAUGAUUUUUUUGUUUGGUUUUCCAUUACAAGAGUGGCACUGGACCCUACGUGGGUUGCCUACGUAUGCCCCUGUAGGAAGUCAGGUCGGGCGUAGUUCUGUUACAACAAAACACUCUACUGUCAACAAACUUGACUCUUUUUUCUGUAUUUUUCGUUGUUUUGUAGCUUUGUAGAGAAUAUUUGAAGAAAGACUGCGAUUUUAUUGAUCAUUCAUUUUUUACUUGACUUUGGUUUGAACCAACGAUUAGUUUUGUGCUUAAGAAUUUCCAUCAUAUACUUUUCAGCAAACCGAGAUCAGCUUAUGGGUAAUUCAUAUAGCUUCGAAUGGUACCUCAGAUAUACCUAGGUUCGACAAGAUUUGUUCGUCUUGCUUCAAUCAAAGGUUUCGGCUUCUGCCUAACUCAUGUUUCAAGUGCCCUCACCAAAAGAAAGUCCUGAUUUUCACACAUUUUGAAGUGUUUUGCUUUUUUAGGAUAUUUUGAGAAGUACACUCACACUCAAAAAGAUGUCCAAUGCAUGCAAUUGAGAUACCAUAUACCUGACCUUUAUGUGAGUAUCCACUAAUGUGAGAACACUUGGAGUAGGAUCAUGUAGGGCUUUGUUAUUGGCUUGUAAUGUAGCCUUGGGGACGGGUAGGAUAUUCAUUUGGGAUAAAAGUGACUAAAUCCUCCAUGAGCAUUGCACUGCAUCUGUGUUUCUGGCGUUCAAACCAUACUUCGUCGCUUGAUCUUGUUCGGUUCGAUGUCCCUUUCUUUUGUUUAACUUAUUUUGAACUUGUGGGAGAUUCUUCUUCCAUUUUUGGAGGGUUUUUUUCUUUUUUUUCUUUUUGAAGCUUCUCCUGCUUUGCAGGAGUUUUUCCUUCUUUUGUUGGAGUUCCUCCUCUUUGAAUUUGUGGAGUUUUCCCCUUUUCUCUUUUUCUCUUUUUUUCUCUUUUGUUUCGUCCGAAUUUGCAGAAGUUUUCUCCUUCUCGUUAGAUCCUCCUUUUGAAUUUGCGGAGUUUCCUCUUUCUUUUCUUGAAGUCAUGUCUUUGAUUGCCUUGGACUUUGCAUCUUUCGUCUUUUUAUGCUUUUCGCCUUCACUUUGGUCUUCGUCCAAAGUUACACAUUUUCAGUGCGCGCAAGGAGGUUGGGCCAAGAGAGGGGUAGUGCUCGUAAGCACAAAGAAGGGUAUAGGAUAAGAUGUGGUUCUCCAAGAAAAAGCUUAAGGCUCAAAGGGGGAAUGCUAGGGAUUAAUGUCAUUUGGUAGGCUUGAAAGGCUCGAACGGGCAAAGAAUGCCUAUCAUCCUUUCCUAAACUAAGUGUUACUCAGGAUUUUACCUCAACAAACAUUCGGGCCAAGUUCUAGAUCUACAAUGCCAUGCAAUGAAUUUUAAUCUAGGCUCACCACACAAUACACAUGAAACAAAUGAGUUCGGCUUUGUUCUUACCUUAACUGUAAGCAUGAGAAUUUUUUCAAGUGUCACUAAGGUGUAAUUAAGAGGUACCGCAAGAGUCUAUAGUUUACCCAAAGCUGAUCCUCUCCAUCAUAUCAAUUUUAUACUUGUUCUUUCUCAUGCACACUCUUAACUAUGUUGGUAUUAACCAAGUCAAUAUUUUGGUGAUUUUCUUGUUCUUUUUUUUGAUUUUUGAUAAAUGGGACUAAACUCGUGGAAGGGUUCCUCUUUUUUUGGAUUUUGACUUAGCAACAAUUUUUUUGAAUUUUUGACUUAAUCGAUUAUUUUUUUGAUUAUUGAAAAAAUGAGAUCGAAGCCGAAGGUUGCCUACGUAUCUCGUUGAAAUGAGAAUCAGGUCAAGCGUAGUUCAGGAAGGGUGGAAAGAAAAUACUUUAAGAUUUUUAUUUCAUUUCAUUGUUUUUUGAAAUUUUGAAUAAGAGAAUUUUUUGUGAUUUUUGUUAGAGAGAACUGAAUGUAACACGGGAUUUGUGGUUACCGUUCCAAAGCGCAAUCGGAGCAUUGAAUGUUAGACAGGCUUAGUUACCGUUCUGAUGCGAUAUCGGAGCAUUGAAGGUUAUACGGGCUUUCUAGUUACCGUUCCAUAUAGAAGCAUUGGACAGAAAAGUUAAAUGACAGGCUGUGUAUCGUUCCGUAUAGGAGCAUUGAUUGUUAGACGGGGCUGGGUACCGUUCCGUUUAGGAGCGCUGACAAGAAAGUAAAUUAACGGGUUGUGUACCGUUCCGUAUAGGAGCAUUGAUUGUUAGACGGGGUUGGGUGAUGAGUGGUAAUUUUACCAUUUAUUUUAGUCUCUUUUCUUUAGUUUUUGUGUCCUUUAAUUAUAAUAUGAGGAUGUUUAUGGUGUGUAUAGCUAGAUUUUUAGGUAAAUGAAGUCAGAGAAUUGAAAUCAAAUGAAGUGGAAUUAAGAAAAAAGAGUUGAAGUAGUGCAAAAUCAUUCAGUGAUUUCGCAUCUGCGAAAUACUGUACACUUCUGCGAGCUCGCCUCUGCGAGUAAAGAGCCGCAUCUACAGAAAAUAGCAACCUUCCACUGGGAUCGCAUCUGCGGUUGAUAAUUCGCAUUUGCGGAGCCGCUUCUGCAUCGAUAUGUUCCGCAUCUACGAAGAACGUAAUUCUCCACAAGUUUCGCAUCUGCGAAUGAAACUCUGAUUUUGCAAAGUCGCACCUGCAAUAAUUUUUUCCGCAUGUGCGGUCAACGGGAUUCAUCUCUGGACAAACUUGCCAUUUCACAUUUUCUCCAUUUCAAACCCACAAAUACAUGACCUAGCUUAUUGAAAACACAUCUUUGGCCAAUCUUUGGCUUAUUUUCAAUCUUCUUGACUAGAGAACACAAGUUUUGGAGCUAGGGUUCUUGCACAUAUACUUGGGUCUUGAAGAUUUGAAACUUUUGGUUGAGAAUUUCUUACCAUUUAUGUUCAUUUACUCAUUUCCUUGCUUUGUAUUAUAUAUCUAAGUGUGUAGUAUUUUUUCCAACACUUGAAUCUUAUUUAUGGGAAUAUUCAUCUUUAAAGUAUGGAUUAAAUAUUUUAUUGUGCUUAUGUAUUAAACGNUUUUUANNNNNNNNNNNNNNNNNNUGGGAAAGAUUAAUUAACAAGAACUUGAGGUGUUAACCCUCACUUUAUAGAUUCUACCUAGGGAUAGGAUUAAACUACUUGUAACCAUAUUUGGAUGUGCUUAAUCUCUUAAUUAUUUUAGGGAUAAUUCAAUUAGUAAGUCUUAUUAGUCUUAGGAAGAAGCUAAUAAAGAAUUAUUACCUGAGGCUAAUUAAUAUAAACUCGCUCAUAUUUGUAAAAUCGUGAAAUACAUUGGAUCGUUACUUGAGUGUAAUUUUUCUUGUAUCCAUGCUUGUAGCCAUUUAUCAUUUUACUUAUUUUCUAGGUUAGUUUAUAAUUUCACAUUUAGUUAUAAAUAUUUUUCCAAAACCAUUCUAAGUGUUUGGCUUAGCAUAAUAAGCGAUAAUUUUCUUACACGCCUAAUCGCCUACAUAUUGUUUACUAUGGGAUUCAACCCUGACUCAUAGUUGGAUAAAUUAUAUUGCAUGUGACCGUGUCCAUUUACUUUUUAUUAGUGGAUUUGGAUGUCAUCAAAAUUGGCACCGCUGCCGGGGAGCAAUUUGGCGUAUUUAGGUUAUUUGAGAAGUAAGCGUACGUGCCUUGGUCCAAACUUGUGAAUAUUUGUGUAAAUAUUUUUCUUAUCUUUGUUUAUUUUUCUUGCUGUUUUCUUGAUUGUUUCUUGUUUAUUUUCUUAGUUUUGAAAAAUGGCAUCAUGUAAUGAAUAUUGGUCGAAUGGUAGUUGUUCAUAAUUUGAUGACUCUUGUCCUUAUAGUGGAGGACCACACUCGUGGCAAAAUAGUUUAAAUUCUCCCAAGGCGGAUUGUGCGCACCAUCUCAAACCCAUGAGUGGAGUAUAUGUGAUAAGUGUGGUGGUCAAAAUGGCCAUGGAAAAAUUGUGCUUAUUUAUUCUUCCCUUCCCCGAACCCCCACUAUGAUGAUUCUACUUUUUGUGAUGAUAAUUAUACAGAUAUGGAAGUGGAAGAAAGUGAUCAUGGUCAAAAUGGAGAGUUCAAGCUCAUGAUGGAAUGCCUACUUGAAGGAGGAAACAAAGAGCAAAAUGCCUUGGACGAACUUUUGGAAACUAGUCUCCAAAAUGAUUUAGUACUUGAAAGGUUAAACUUACAAAUGGGAGAAAUGUUUGAAGCUAUAAAGUUCCAAAAAGCCUCGGAAGUGGAUGAUAGUCAAGAACCUUCCUUAGAGGUUGAUGCCGAAAAUCCUUCUUUGGCACUUGAGGACUUAAAACAAGCACUAGAUUAAAAUGAUGAGACAACCCGCACUUUGAAAGAUCAAAUAAAAUCAUUGGUUGAGUCUCAAUAUGCCCACCAACUUGAGAGUACGGAAAGAGCUCAAGAAAAGUCCAACUUCGAGGAAGAAAGCGAGCUUUAUUUUGAGGAAUCAAGAAUUGAAAAUCCGCCAACUGACUCCAUGCUUUCUGGUGAUGCCAAGAAAAAUUGAAAUUAGAGUCAACUGAUGUAGUUGAAAAGAUGGUUGAAAAUGUCUCUAGUUUGGGGGAAAAAGAGGAUGUCAAUCAUGUAAAUUCCAUGGGGGAGUGCAAAGAAGAAACACAAGAGCCAUACAUCUUGCAAUUUGAAUAUUCAAGAACGCAAAAUGACAUGCCUCAAAAGAAAGCCAAUAAAUGCAAAACAAAGAAAUUGAUGUUUGGCUUGAUCUACUUACCAUCCCCCGUUGCUCGUGGUCACAAGCUUGAUUCCACGUUAGGUGCCCAAUUCAUAUCUUCCAAGUGGAGAGAAAAGUAGUAAAGUUAAUUCGCGUCGUGCCACGACGUUAAAUGCGACGCUUGGUGGGAGGCAACCCAUCGUUUUCAAAUGUUGUUGUUAGAUUUUUAUUUUUAUAGAUUAUUUAUCUUUAUUGAAAAUUUUGAUGUGUGUGUAUCAUAGAGUGCAAGGAAAAUAAAGAAAAAGAGGCUAAGCUUGCUUUUCUGCGGCAAAAAUAAUGCAAUCGCAUAGUGGCUAUGCAGACCGCAUAUUGGUCGCGGAACGAGUUAGAAGUUUGUAAGCUAUGGUCGCUCAAAAAUGCAGCGAAAUGCAAAUUUUGCAGACCGCAUAACGGUUAUGCGAUCGAAAAUGCGGUCACACAUUGGCCAAGCACACACCCAUCAUUUUCAAAUUUUGAAAUCGUUUUUGAAAUUUUCUUUUUUAGAAUAGUUUAGUGUAUUGAUUUUUACUAAUCUGCAAUGUUUUAGAUUUUUGGAGUUGAAUUGAGGAGUUUAAGGUGAUGGAAUGAGCCAAAGCAGUGGCUGCCCAGUUCUGUCAUUGAGGAAUCUGGUGCAACCGCAUCUGCGGAACACUACUCACAGAUGCGGCCUCGCACAAGCAUCAGUUAGAGCACAUAUGCGAAAUCUUCGCAGAAGCGGUUCACCAAUUGCAAAAGUGUAGGCGCAGAAGCAGUUAAAAACUCGCAGAUGCGAACCAUCGGGUAAAUUUUAAAGACCCACUGUGUCUUUCAUCAGGUGAAACUCUAACCUUUUUUCCCCAAAAUCAAAACUCACUCUCAUCUCUCACACAAGGAAACUACUGCUCAAAUCCUAUUGCCCACAUAUAAGGAAAUCAGGUAAUCAUCUUGUUCCUUCUGUCUUUUAAUUGCUCACUCUUCUUCCUCGACUUUCUUCUUCUCUCAUCAUCAUAUACUCUUCUCCAUGGCAGAAUUCCCAUAGUUCCUCCCUCCCCCCCCCCCAAAUCAACGUGCAUUUAGGGGUGAGAGAAAUUGGUUGGGUGUAGUUUUGUGUGUUGUUAUUGUUGAAAAGAAUUAGGGAAGUCUGAGUACCAAUUGCUUCAAGGAAUCAAAAAUCAUUUUGUGUUUGUCAUAUGUUCGACAAAUUGUCUGAAAGAACUUUUUAUGCUAUGUGCCUUAAAAUAAUGAGCAAUUAAGUCUUAUGUUCAUGUAGUGCACUAAUUUAAAAAUCUUGAGUAUAAAGUUUGUACAAAAAUAAUGUUUGGAAUUGAAAACAAAGCUGCAGUUGCUGGGCUUUUGAAACCCCUGAUGAACACUUGCAGAACAGAAAAAAGGGCCGCAGAUGCGGCCUCUCACCUGCGAUGCCCCUUCGGCAGGUGCGAUGUUUGGUCAACUGUGAAUGUUCACAAAAGCGAAGAAAUUUUCGCAGAAGUGGAACCACACUUGCGAUGUUUUUCUGUAAGAGAGGUGACUGGGCAGUUUUUGCAAAAAUAGUAGCUAUGCAACUUUGGCUUGCUGGGCCUAUUUGGCUUGAUUCAUUGGCCUAAUUGCAUAAUUUUAAAUUUCUCAACAUGAUUCUAAUGCCCGACUAACUUUGUUUUAAUUUUUAAGGUGCUUUGAGCUUAAAAUGGACCCGAACAUGAACGACAAUGUUGCGCUUGAUCACGAUAUUGAAGAAGUGGCUGAGGAUUUGAACUAUGAUGCCAACAGAUUCAUGUCUUCCAAUUGUCAAAACCGGUAUUAUGAUGAUCUCCUCACAAAGAAACUCAAACUUGAGAAAGGAAUUGUCGAUAGCAAAGUGGCCGAGCUCCUUCCAGAUUUCCAUGGCCGGCUAGUUUCAAGCGGCUGGACCUACUUCAUUCCUACUCCAUGCAACACCAAUAAGGAACGGGUGUGGGAAUUUUAUGCAAACUUAAAGCGUAUACAUUUCCAAAACCAUGAACUUACAAUAAGGGGAAAGAUUGUGAAAUUUGGAGUUGAAGAGAUAAAUGAUGUCUAUGGGCUUCAAAAUCAUCUGGUCAAGCUAAUGUGAGAAAGAAAUGCAUGCGAAAAUGGUGAUUGGCUAGUCUCAAAGCUCUGUCCUACAGGUUAAACAGUGACUUGGGCUAAAAAGAAAAAAGGCAUUAAAUGUGGUGAUUUUACAGCAGAAGCAAAAAUAUGAUUGUAUAUCAUUGCGAGCAGAGUGUCUCCUUGUGGGAACGUGUCUAAUGGCACAUAUACUAGGGCCCUGAUAAUGGCAUACAUCCUUGAUGGAAUUUCAGUGAAUGUCGAUCACUACAUCGUUCGAGAGCUGACGGAGUAUGUGCUUCAAGGUGGCUCGACAUUGAUAUUUCCAUCAUUGAUUAUAGAGUUGUGCCAGCGUGCACAGGUUGAGGAAUAGGAUGGAGAUCAUGUGAUACCGGCAGACAAGCCCUUUCACCCAUUGAGAGUUACAGGAGAAGGCAAUGUGCUAAAGAGCAAGAAGAGGAAAAUGGAGAUUGUUGUAGGUGAGGGGUCCUCCUCACAAGCUACACAGGCCGAGGGACCAUUUGGGAUGCUAAAUUCCCAGCAUACCUCCAUUUGUGACUUAGGUCACAGCUCCCUAGUGGUCCUUCACACUCCCAGCCUAUGCCUGACAACUAUACUAGGGAAGAAAUGAAGACCUACCUGUAGGCCCAGAAGAAGCAGGCAGAGUCUCAGGAGAAGUUGGUAGCUUCUAUUAGCAGGCUCAAGACAGCCUAUGGCAAUAUGGCCGAGGCACAUGUAGGUCUUCAGGUAGACUUCCAAAAGGAGAAAGAGAUAAAUAAGAAUAAGGGCAAAUUCAUGAUAAAGAUGUGGAGAGGAAUCAAGGCCAUCUUCAAAUGGGGGCAGCCGAACAGAAAGAUACUGGUCGAGGACAAAGAUGAUAGUGAAUAGUAUUCCUUCUUGUCAAAUUAUGUUGAGGCUGAUACUGAUGAUGAUGAGGCCGAGAGCUCUACACGGCAUUGAUGAGCCUUUUUCCCGCAGUCUGCUAGUCUGAUGCAGACCUCAGGGAGACCCUCAAACUACUCUUAUUUUAUCUUGAUAUUGUGCAGUGAGGACACUGCAGUAUUUUUAGUUGGGGUGGCUUUAGGGGAGUAAACUUUAUUUGUACAUUGAUGCUUAUCUUAUGCCCUUGCCGGGCUUAUGCUUUUGUAUGGAUAUUGUGUGCCCUUGCCGGGCUUGUUUUACUAUUGUUUAUCAUGUGCCUUUGUCGGACGUAGUUUGUGAUUGGUGAUAUAAUUGCGGAUUAGUCGCUUUUGUUAUUCUAUUUUAUUUUUAUUUAUUUAUUUUCUUUAGUAGUUUUUAGUUUAUGUUAUUUUUAUUCCUUUAGUAUUAGUUGCUUUUGUUAUUUUUUUUUCUUUAGUAGUUUUUAGUUAUUUUAUUUUUAUUCCUUUAGUGUUUAUUUUAUUUUCUUUAGUAGUUUUUAGUUUAUAUUAUUUUUAUCUCUUUAGUAGUAAUAUACUUUUCAAUAAAUUUUCUUGGGUUUUCUUUAUGCUACGGUUCUUUUUCGAGGAAUAUUUUUGUGUUGAACCGGGUAACUUUUUCCUAUGUUGGAUGGCGUGAUGACUUUCUUAAGGGAAUUAGUCUUGUUUUGUAUGUAGAGACUUUUGGACUGUUUGGUACUAAUAAAAUUAGUCUCUUGUAUAUGAAGUGUAAAUUAAGAAUACCCCUCCGAAUUUUGGUUGUAAAUUGAAAAAGUAAGUUGCAUGGGGAAGAAUAAUUUUUGUGAUAACUUGUUGGCUCAUUUUGUGACUCUUUGCCCACUAGUUGGCAUGAUAUUUCUCUAAUUGUUCUUAUUAAGAAGUGAAAUUGAUCCAUCUUGAUUAGUUCAUGUGCCAUAUGUGUUAGUUUUUGUUAAAAAUAAUUCUUGUGUUUAUUUUUAUCAUCUAGAACUUGCUCGGUUGGUCUUUCAAUGCUAAUGUUAAUUAUGUUUAGUUGGAGUGAUGACCUUAGACAUUCUUUGUGAUCUUUGAAAAAGCCUUUUUAGUCUUUCAAGCCUACCAUUGCAUAAAUAUUAUUACUAAUUAACCCCAUUUGAGCCUUUAACUUUUUUUUGACUAUCUCAUUACAAACCUUUACCCUUUUUGUAAAAUAGUUCCCUCUUUUGAACGCGCCCCUCCUUGAAUAUUAAAGAUGAGGCUAAAAGCCUAAGUUGGGGGUGUUGGUAUUAAUUGGAAAAUGGUGAAGAUGUAUAUUAUGUGUAGAAACAUAUACCUCAAAGUUGUUUAUAUGAAGAUACUCAAGCUCCAAAAAAAAAUAGUUGUAUAAAAUAAUGGAGUCUUGAGAAAAUUAGAGAGGUACUUUAAGGUGGUUCUAUAUUGGUAACUAGAUGUUAAUAAGGGAUAUGUGGUUUAAAAAGAAGCAAAGUGCAAAAAGAAAGACAAAUGUGAGUAGUACUCAAGGAGGGUGUAGUCACUUGUAUCCCAAAUGUUUAUCCUAACCUUCCCUAAGCCUACAUUACAAGCUUAAAAAGUCCUUAUGGGAUCUCCAACUGAAUGUACUUGAAUAGGCGGCGAAUUAAAAUAAGGGCAAGCUUAUGGUAUGAUAUUUUGUAAUACUUAAAAUUCUUUAUUGAGAGUGAGUGUCUUUGUGCAUUUGUCCCUUGUGUUGUUAUUGUAAAUAUGGUAAUUUUGGGACUUUCUUUCUUGUGAAGGCACAUGGAUUAUGAUGGAUUAGUGACAUUGAUAUAUUUCGAAUUAAGUAAAUUGAGCAUAUGUAGUAGACUAGUACUUUUGAGUCACUUCUUGAGGCUUGGUUGUUGUCACUUGAUAAAUUUGAAACUCCAUUGCAUUCUUGAGAUUGUAUUUAAAUGAGGGAGUCAUUUGGUUGAAGUUCACAUGCUUGAGCCUAAUUAUUAGUACCAACCAAAGCCAUAAGUAUGGUGCUUAAUUGGAGAAUGUGAUUUAGGAAUGAUAGCGAUACUACUUGUGCUUUAAAUGGUAAAACCUAAUUGAAUAUUUUGUUUUGAUUUGCUUUAGGACAAGCAAAAGCUUUAAGUUGGGGGUGUUGAUGAGUGGUGAUUUUACCAUUUUUUUAGUCUCAUUUCUUUAGUUUUUGUGGCCUUUAAUUAUAAUAUAAAGUUGUUUAUGGUGUGUAUUGCUAGAUUUUCAGGUAAAUGAAGUCUUGAAGAGAAUUGAAAUCAAAUGAAGUUGAAUUAAGCAAAAGAGAGUUGAAGUAGUGCAAAAUCCUUCAGUGAUUUCGCAUCUGCGAAACAUUGUUCGCUUCUGCGAGCUCACCUCUGCAAGUAGAGGGUCGCAUCUGCGGAAAAUAGCAACCUUCCACUAGGAUCGCAUCUGCGGUUGAUAAUCCGCAUUUGUAGAGACGCUUCUGCGUCGAUAUGUUCCGCAUCUGCGAAGAAGGCAAUUCUCUACAAGUUUCGCAUCUGCGAAUGAAACUCCACUUUUGCGGAGUCACACCUGCAAUAAUUGUUUUUGCAUGUGCGGUCAAUGGGAUUCAGCUCUGGACAGACUUGGCAUUUCACAUUUUUUCCAUUCCAAACCCACAAAUACACGACCUAGCUUAUUGGAAAAACAUAUUUGGCCGAUCUUUGACUUAUUUUAAGUCUCCUUGACUAAAGAACACAAGUUUUGGAGCUAGGGUUCUUGCACACACACUUGGGUCUUGAAGAUUUGAAGCUUUAGGUUGAGACUUUCUUACCCAUUUAUGUUCAUUUCUUCAUUUUCUUGCUUUGUAUUGUAUAUCUAAGUGUGUAGUAUUCUUUUCAACACUUGAAUCUUGUUUAUGGGAAUAUUCAUACUUAAAGUAUGGAUUCGAUAUCUUAUUGUGCUUAUGUAUUAAAUAAUUUUUAUUUAUAUUGAAGUGAGUUAUUGUUUCUUUAAUUAUUCUUGUUCUUNNNNNNNNNNNNNNNNNNNNNNNNNNNNNNNNNNNNNNNNNNNNNNNNNNNNNNNNNNNNNNNNNNNNNNNNNNNNNNNNNNNNNNNNNNNNNNNNNNNNNNNNNNNNNNNNNNNNNNNNNNNNNNNNNNNNNNNNNNNNNNNNNNNNNNNNNNNNNNNNNNNNNNNNNNNNNNNNNNNNNNNNNNNNNNNNNNNNNNNNNNNNNNNNNNNNNNNNNNNNNNNNNNNNNNNNNNNNNNNNNNNNNNNNNNNNNNNNNNNNNNNNNNNNNNNNNNNNNNNNNNNNNNNNNNNNNNNNNNNNNNNNNNNNNNNNNNNNNNNNNNNNNNNNNNNNNNNNNNNNNNNNNNNNNNNNNNNNNNNNNNNNNNNNNNNNNNNNNNNNNNNNNNNNNNNACUUUGAAAAAUAUAAUUUGGGGUUGAAAAAGAUUAAUUAACAAGAACUUGAGGCGUUAGCCCUUACUUUAUAGAUUCUACCUAGGGAUAGGAUUGAACUACUUGUAGCCAUAUUUGGAUGUGCUUAAUCUCUUAAUUGUUUUAGGAAUAAUUCAAUUAGGAAGUCUUGUUAGUCUUUGGAAGAAGCUAAUAAAGAAUUAAUACCCGAGGCUAAUUAACAUAAACUCGCUCAUAUUUGUAAAAUCGUAAAAUACAUUGAAUCGUUACUUGAGUGUAAUUUUUCUUGUAUCCAUGUGUAACGACUCGGCCGGUCGUUUUGAGAACUGUAGUCUCGAUCGGCGGCAUAAGGCCCUGAGCAGCUUUGUAUUAUGUGUAUUGACUUGCGUGCGUGGUUGAAUUCAAUUACCGGGUGAUUCGGAGUGAUUUGGGAUACUUAGUCCCUAAAACGAAAGCUUAAGCCUUAGGAUUUUGACCGUAGUCGGAACUGUGUGAAGACGACUCCGAAAAGGAGUUUAGUCGGUUCUGUUAGCUCCGUUGGGUGAUUUUGGACUUAGGGACAUGUCCGGAUUGUGUUUUGGAGGUCUGUAGCUAAUUUAGGCUUGAAAUGGCGAAAGUCAAAUUUUUUUAGACUUUAAUCGGAAGUGGACAUUUUGAUAUCAGGAUAGGAAUGUGAUUCCGAGAGUUGGAACAGCUCCGUUAUGUUAUUUGGGACUUGCCUGCAAAAUUUGACGUCAUUCCGGGUUGGUUAGAUUGGUUUCGGCACGAGUUUUCGAAGUUGGAAGUUUUGGAAGUUCAUAAGUUCGAUUCGUGGUGCGAUUUGUAUUUUUGGCAUUAUUUGAUGUGAUUUGAGACCCCGAGCGAGUUCGUGUUAGGUUAUGGAAAUUGUUGGUAUGUUUAGACGGGGUCCCGGGGGCCUCAAGUGUAUUUCGGAUGGGUUACGGGCCAUUUUCUUCUAUUUUUGAACUACUGUUUUCUGUCAUUUGGUUUCCUUAAUCGCGUUCGCGUCCCUUCCUUCGCAUUCGCGAAGAGUAAUUUUGGAAGAGGAAUUCAUUGUUCUUCGCGUUCGCAUGAUCACGUUCGCGAUCGCGAAAGUCUUCUUUCUCCUUCUUCGCGUUCGCAUCUGUUCCCCUGCGGUCGCGUAGUAGAAAUUGGGAGCUGGGGGCUGUUGGCUAUUUCUUCUUCGCGUUCGCGUCAUUCUUCCCGCGUUCGCGUAAGUUCUGUUUCUUACCCUUCGCGUUCGCACCCCUUAGCUCGCGUUCGCGUAGGGUUAUAUUGGCAGCCUACAUUUUUCUUCUUCGCGAACGCGAUCCUUUCUCCGCGUUCGCGAUGCUUUGGCGCUUGGGCAGAAUAUAAGAUCUUCCAAUCAAGGGUUAGGCCAUUUUCAUCAUAUCUUGACUUUUAGAGCUCGAUUUUGAGAGAUUCUUUGUGGGUUUUUCAAGAAAAUUAAUUGGGUAAGUGUUCUUCACCUAGAAUGUAUUAUAUUGCAUGAUUUUAUCUUUAUUUUUAUCAUUUAAUUUGGGUUUUGAGUUGAGAAAAAUGGAGGUUUUUGAAGAAAAUUUUCAAAAUAAAAAAUCAUGAUUUGACGGACGAAUUGGUAUCAGAAUUUGAUAAUUUUAGUAUGGUUGAACUCAUAUCGGAAUGGGUGUUCGGGUUUUGUAAAAUUUGUCGGGUUCCGAGGUGCGGGCCCGGGGGUCGACUUUUUGGUCGAUUUUUGGAUUUUGAUAAAGAUUAAGGCUUUAUGAUCCGAAAUAGUUUCUUAUGAGUUUUAUUUGUGCUUUGAAAUUAUUUUGGUUAUAUUUGAGCCGCCCGGAGGUCAUUUCACCCGAGAAGUUCAUUUUAGAGUAUCGGUCUAUCUUCUUUGAGGUAAGUAUCUUGCCUAACUUCGUGUGGGGGAACUACUCCUUAGGAUUUGAGUCUUCUAUGCUAAUUGUAGUCCGUGUACGUGAGGUGACGAGUACGUACUCGGAUUUAUUUGUGAAAAGUUGGCCUUUUAGGGUUUUUAGGUCCUUGUAUUCACUGAAUAUGUAGUUAUUCUCGUUAUGAUUACGUUUCUAAAUUACUAGUUUCACCUCUACCUGUUUUAAUUAGAAUUAAUUGCUUCAUGAUCCUCCCUUGAUGCUUAUUUGAGUCAUAUGUGCCUUAACUGAAAUUGUUAUCUCUUCUAUUGACAUGUUAUUUUUUUCCUAACUUCUUAUCUUUAUUUGAAGUUGUAGUAAUCCCUUUUGUAAAUGUUCGCCCUUAAUUGAGGUUAUGGUUAUCUUUCCGCCGCCUACCUUUAUUUGAAUUUGUUGCAUCUCUUUCGUAAUUUUCCAAAAUUAAAAAAAGCUUAGAUAUCAUAUGCCUUAGUUGUUUUGCCCUUAUUUGGAAUUAUUUGACUCGUGUUAGUUUUUUUGUUGUUGAACUGUAUAUUGUGGGAUCAUUAUUAUAUUUUAUUUUCUUCCCUGUUGAGUUGUUCUUAUUACGCCUAGUAUUCUUUAUUAUGGCUAUUCCUUGCAAACUAGUUUUACUGUUUCUUGCGAUCGAAGGUUCUUGAGUUGAUUUAUUUGGCGUACCCUAGUAUUAGUGUUAUUGUUGUUGUUGUACUUGUUGUUCUUGCAUAUUUACUUUGGGACUACGAGGCGGUACCUCGGUAGAUCCCUUUGUCUUGCAUAUUUACUUUGGGACUACGAGGCGGUACCUCGGGAGAUCCCCCUGUCUUGUAUAUUUACUUUUGGGACUACGAGAUGGUAUCUCGAGAGUGCCCUUUGUUGACAUCUCUUUGUUAUGGGAUUGCACGAGGUUUCUGCCGUGCUAUUGUUAUUAUUGAUAUUUGCACAUGCGGCGUGACAAGGCGGGAUACAUAUAUGUGGGUUGCACAUNNNNNNNNNNNNNNNNNNNNNNNNNCGAGACAAGGUUGGGUUGUGUCAGGAUUGAUUUGUGAUAAUUUGUGAUGACUUGGGGGCAUCUUUGUUGUUGAUAUUUGUAUAGUGGUACACUUACAUGUGUGAGCUUUAUCUUGUGAAAGUUGUGAGGAAACAUUCUAUGUGUUGUCCGCUCUUUUCCCCUUAUGUUCACUAGCUGGUAUGAACUAUGUUAGGACACUUGCACAAGCAUACACGUAGUUAAGCACUCUUAUCGAAUAAGAGGUUUUCUUGAUAUUGUUGAGUACAGAUGUACACCCUUGCUUAUUUGUCUUCUAUGUGAGAAUGGCUCUAUUUGGCACUCAAGUCGUCAGUGCGGUUAUGAGGUGUAAUGAGGGCACAGGAUGCCAAGUGUUAGGGUUAAGGUAUUGAGACCCGUGAGUUGUGAUUUGUCCGAGGUUCGAUACCUCUUGGAGUUUGUUGACUAAAACCUGAUGUGAAAGCGGUCGUUAUUGCUGAGUUAUUAAUUGUCCUUGUUGUAUCUGUGGUUUCGGAUUUAGGUUGUGUUUACGUUCACCCUUCUGUGUCAUUAUUAUGGUAUUCCGCUGAUACUUGUUACUGUCCUUUCCUAUUGCAAUUACUGUAUGGUUAGUCAUAUCGGGUAGUCUUUAUGUAGAUAUUACACUCUGUUGUUUCUAUACUUAUACCUUGUUCAUGUUAUUUAGUCCAGUAGGUGUCUUGACUGUUCCUCGUCACUACUCUGAGGUUAGUCUUAAUACUUGUUGGGUACUGACAUGGUGUACUCAUACUACACUUCUGCACAUUUUUGUGCAUAUCCAAGUACUUCGAAGUCAGUCGAUCAUUAGCUAGUUGUGCGGACUGUUGCUGUGGAGACUCAAGGUAAACCUGAUGCUACGUUCGCAGGCUUUGGAGUCACCUUCCUAUUUUGUAUUCACACUGUUUUACCUAUUUCCAAAUAGUUGUAUUUAGAAAUUUGUAGCAAACUCUGUAGAGCUUAUGACAAGUACUACCGGUUUUGAGAAUUGUAAAUUUGAUAGAGAAUUCUAUUUCAAAAGUUGUUAGAUGUUAUUUAUUAUUGUUAUUAUUCAGUAAAUGUUAGGCUUACCUAGUCCCUAAGACUAGGUGCCCUCACGAUACCCAACGGAGAGGAAAUUAGGUCGUGACAAGUUGGUAUCAGAGCUCUAGAUUUAUAGGUGCUACGAGUCAUAAGCGAGUUUAGUAGAGUCUUGCGGAUCGGUUCGGAGACGUCUGUACUUAUCUUCGACAGGCUAUGGAACUAUUAGGACAGUUUCACUUCCUUCAUUCCUAUCGUGCGAGUUCAUUGAUCUCGAAGUUGAACUUUUAUCAUUCCAUUCUCUCACAGAUGGUGAGGACACAAGCUGCAGUUACUGAUGACGUUACCCCCGGAGCAGAUGUUGCAAGGCAGAGGCAGAGGCCGACAAGGAGCACGUGCCACAGCUAGGGAACCUACCAGAGUAGCAGUUGAGGAGCCGCCAGUAGUUCCAGUUGGGGGGCAGGUACCGGAGGUGCCUGCUAUUACCCCCGGACUUCAGGAGACCUUAGUACCGUUUCUGAGCAUAUUUGGUACAUUGACUCAGGUGGGGUUGAUUCCAGUUGCACCAGCUAUUUCACAGACCUGGGGAGGAGCUCAGACUCUCGCCGCCCACACUCUAGAGCAGAGGGUUCAUAUUGGUCAGGUUCCAGGUGUAAUUAACAUAAACUCGCUUAUAUUUGUAAAAUCAUAAAAUACAUUGGAACGUUACUUGAGUGUAAUUUUCCUUGUAUCCAUGCUUGUAGCCAUUGAUCAUUUUACUUGUUUUCUAGUUUAGUUUAUAAUUUAACAUUUAGUUAUAAAUAUUUUUCCAAAACCUUUUUAAGUGUUUGGCUUAGCAUAAUAAGUGAUAAUUUUCUUAUACGCCUAAUCGCCUACAUAUUGUUCACUGUGGGAUUCAACCCUGACUCAUAGUUGGGUAAAUUAUAUUGCAUGCGACCGUGUCUAUUUACUUUUUAUUAGUGGAUUUGGAUGUCAUCAAAAUUGGCACCACUGUCGGGGAGCAAUUUGGCAUAUUUAGGUUGUUUGAGAAAUAAGCGUACGUGCUUUGGUCCAAACUUGUAAAUAUUUGUGCAAGUAUUUUUCUUAUCUUUGUUUAUUUUUAUUGUUGUUUUCUUGAUUGUUUCUUGUUUAUUUUCUUAGUUUUGAAAAAUGGCAUCAUGUAAUGAAUAUUGGUCGAAUGGUAGUUGUUCAUACUUUGAUGACCCUUGACCUUAUAGUGGAGGACCACACUCGUGGUAAAAUUAUUUAAAUUCUCCCGGGGGUGGAUUGUGCGCACAAUCUCAAACCCAUAAGUGGAGUAUAUGUGAUAAGUGUGGUGGUCAAAAUGGUCAUGGGAUAAUUGUGCUUAUUUGUUCUUCCCUUCCCCGAACCCCCACUAUGAUGAUUCUACUUUUUGUGAUUAGAAUUAUAGGGAUAUGGAAGUAGAAGAAAGUGAUCAUGGUCAAAAUGGAGAGUUCAAGCCCUUGAUGGAAUACCUACUUGAAGGAGGAAACAAAGAACAAAAUGCCUUGGACGAACUUUUGGAAACUAGUCUCCAAAAUAAUUUAAAACUUGAAAGGUUGAACUUACAAAUGGGAGAAAUGCUGAAAGCUAUAAAGGUCCAAAAAGUCUCGGAAGUGGAUGAUAGCCAAGAACCUUCCUUAGAGGUUGAAGCCGAAAAUCCUUCUUUGGCACUUGAUCAAAAACAAAAAGAACUCUCAAAUUCUCAAAAUGAGAGGAUGAUGCUCAUGUUGGAGGCCAUUCUUGAAAAUGAGGAGAAGCAAAACUUGGCACUUGAGGACUUAAAACCAGCACUAGAUCGAAAUGAUGAGACUACCCGCACUUUGGAAGAUCAAAUAAAAUCAUUGGUUGAGGCUCACUAUGCCCACCAACUUGAGAGUGCGGAAAGAGCUCAAGAAAAGUCCAACUUCGAGGAAGAAAGUGAGCUUUAUUUUGAUGAAUCAAAAAUUGAACAUCCGCCAACUGACUACAUGUUUGUUGGUGAUGCCAAAAAAAAUUGGAUUUAGAGUCAAUUGAUGUAGUUGAAAAGAUGGUUUAAAAUGACUCUAGUUCGGGGGGAAAAGAGGAUGUCAAAAUCCGAAAAAAGUAGCAAGUUGGGAGUUUGAUAUCUCGUUCCAAGCACUUUUUAACUUUGGACUUGUAUGGUGAUAUGAGAAUUGAACCAUGUGAAUCCAUGGGGGAGUGCAAAGAAGAAACACAAGAGCCAUACAUCUUGCAAUUUGAAUAUUCAAGAAUACAAAAUGACAUGCCUCAAAAGAAAAUCAAUAAAUGCACAAUGAAAAAAUUGAUGUUUGGCUUGAUCUACUUACCAUCCCCCGUUGCUCGUGGUCACAAGCUUGAUUCCAAGUUAGGUGUCCAAUUCAUAUCUUCCAAGUAGAGAGAAAAGUGGUAAAGUUGACUCGCGUCGUGCCACGACGUUAAAUGCGGCGCUUGGUGGGAGGCAACCCAUCGUUUUUAAAUGUUGUUAGAUUUUUAUUUUUGUAGAUUAUUAUUCUUUAUUGAAAAUUUUGAGGUGUGUGUAUCAUAGAGUGCAAGGAAAAUAAAGAAAAAGUGGCUAAGCUUGCUUUUCUGCGGCAAAAAUAAUGCGAUCGCAUAAUGGCUAUGCGGACCGAAUAUUGGUCGCGGAAUGAGUCAAAAGUUUGUAAGCUAUGGUCGCUCAAAAAUACAGUGGAAUGUAAAUUAUGCAGACCGCAUAACGAUUAUGCGACCGAAAAUGCGGUUGCACAUUGGCCAAGCACACACCCAUCAUUUUUAAAUUUUGAAGUCAUUUUUGAAAUUUUCUUAUUUAGAAUAGUUUAGUAUAUUGUUUUUGACUAAUCUGCAAUGUUUCAGAUUUUAUAGAGUUGAAUUAAGGAGUUUGAGGUGUUGGAAUGAGCCAAAGCAGUGGUUGCCCAGUUCUGUCAUUGAGGAAUCUGAUGCAACCGUAUCUGCGGAACACUACUCGCAGAUGCGGCCUCGCAGAAGCGUCAGUUAGAGCGCAGAUGCGAAAUCUUCGUAGAAGCGGUUCACCAAUCGCAAAAGCAUAGACACAAAAGCAGUUAAAAAUCCGCAGAUGCAAACCGUCGGGUAAAUUUUAAAGACCCACUGUGUCUUUCAUCAGGUGAGACUCUAACCCUUUUUUUCCCCAAAAUCAAAACUCUCUCUCAUCUCUCACACAAGGCAACUACUGCUCGAAUCCUAUUGCCCAUACAUAAGGAAAUCAGUUUCCUCGUGAUUCGGCUUCCGAAUGCCUCGAAUCUUAGUCAAAAUAAUUUGAUACAAUCAACACGAGGUAUAGAAAUCAAUUCCAUAUGAAAAUGCUAAUUUUAUAUAAAAACCCGAAAUUUAGCUCAAAAAUAGCCCAUGGGGCCCACAUCUCGGAACUCGACAAAAGUUACAAAAUCUGAACAUCCGUUCCGAUACGAGUCCAACCAUACAAAAAUUAUCAAAUUCCGACAUCGGAUUGACCUUCAAAUCUUCAUUUUAUAUUUUUGGAAGAUUUUACAAAAAUCAGAUUUUUCUUCCAUAAAUUCAUGGAUUCAUGAUAUAAAUGAAUAUGGAAUCAUGAAAUAUAAUUAAUAUAGGAUAAGGAACACUUACCCCAAUGUUUUUCCAUGAAAAUCGCCCAAACAUCGCCUAAACCGAGCUCCCCAACUCUAUUUUUGUCAAAAAUGGUCAAAAACCCCGUUUUAUAGACCCUCAGAUGUUUCGGGCGUCAAAGGUAGCGUGGGGCGCUGCCUGUGGCGCAGUUUUCAGUACCCAAAAAUUUCCAGCGCCAGGACUAGCGCCCCACGCUACCCUGGGCGCUCGCGGCGACGGAAAAAUCGUUCCAGUUACGAAAAUAGGCAUAACUUUCUCAUACGAUGUCCGAAUUCAAUGAUUCUUUUUGCUAUGGCUCCGUAAUUUCAAUACGGAUCUAAUACUUUAAUCAAAACUGAAUUUGGAGCUCAUUUUCUUAAUGUUAUAUCACAUAUUCUUGAAGAAUUGACAUCGAAACAUAGAAAAUCAAUCCGGAAUGAACUCAAAUUUUGUGUACAAGUCAUAAUACCUCGUAGGAAGUUAUUCGAGACUUCAAAUAGUUGAAAGGAGAGUAAUUACUCAAAAAAAAUGACAAGUCGGGUCGUUAUAAAAUUAUAGUUGGAUUAUCAUACUUUUCUUUGAGAAACUUGGGCCUUGUAGUCAUUUGGGCUUGGCUCACAUAGUUUGUGUUUCAAGACCAAGACUCGAGAGAUGGUCUUUAGUUACUCAUUGAAUGAUGACUUUUUUUAGAGCGAAUAUUUCUUUGUAUUGAUGGGAUAAUUUCUAUGUUAUAAAUAUUUUGAUACAUUUUCAGGCGCCCUCCUAAACAAUGAGCAUUUUAUUUCAAAGUCAAAUUUUUCAGGAGCCCUCCUGAACAAUGGGCAUUUCAUUUCAAUAUCAAAUUUUACAGGCGCCCACCUUACAGUACGAGUUUUUUAGAUUUUAAAUGCUCCGAUAUCGUUUCGGACCGGUACACAAUCCGGAGUUUUUUUUUCAUCCAAGUGCUCCGAUCACUUCGGACCGGUACACAACCCGAAUUUCCUUUUUUCAUCCAAGUGCUCUGAUCACUUCGGACCGGUACACAUCCCGGAUUUACUUCAUUAAUCCAAGUGCUCCAAUCACUUCGGAUCGGUACACAACCCGUACUUCCUUCAAUAAUUCAAAAUGCUCCGAUAUCAUUUCGGACCGGUAUCUAGACCGGAUCUCUUUCGAAUUAGAGUUCCAACCUGGGGCCUACUUCAUUCAAAAUAAAAUCACGUCAUUCUUGCAUCGCAUACAAUCAUUAUUCAAGUCAUUAUAAUCCAUCUAUCUUAAAUCAAUGGAAGCAUAGUCCACAACUCGUCAACUCUACUGAUCAAAGACGCGAUACAACGUGGAACUAACUUCUAAGCAAAUAAACUGGGGCAUAUUUUGAGGACGGGUGUCGAGCUUUCCAACAUCAAUCGAUGACAUAUCUCAAGUAUCGUUCUUAUGUCCCAUUGGCAUGGAGUGUGUAGGUAAUCCGAACCCUCAUAGUCAAAAUAAAACACCUAGUGUCAUCACAGUUUGACGUUGGGGUAAUUUUCAAGUCAAAAAUAAAAAUUCCAUCGUUUUCUUGAACUACAAUCGGCCUGAUUCUCGUUAUAUCCGAGAUAUGUAGGAAAGCUCAACAAAGAGCCCAGCUGUAUCCACAACAAAAUCCAUUCAAUCUAUCUAUCCAUCCAACACCACGUCCUAGUGUUACCACAGUCUGACCCUGGGGAAAGUUUGGAAGCAAUGUCGAGAUCACACGAACCCUUUCGUCCUCGAACAUUUGACUCCCACUCCAUUUAGCUACGAUUCACAUGUAGUAAUCAAUCCUCUAGAACUACACGCUACCUGAUUCUCGUA